UACGGAGGGUGCAAGCGUUAAUCGGAAUUACUGGGCGUAAAGCGCGCGUAGGCGGUUUGAUAAGUCGAUUGUGAAAUCCCCGGGCUCAACCUGGGAAUUGCAGUCGAGACUGUCAGACUAGAGUGUGGGAGAGGGUGGUGGAAUUCCCGGUGUAGCGGUGAAAUGCGUAGAUAUCGGGAGGAACAUCAGUGGCGAAGGCGACCGCCUGGCCCAACACUGACGCUGAGGUGCGAAAGCGUGGGGAACGAACAGG
rnacentral:rRNA from 1 species